rnacentral:tRNA from 1 species
UCCCUGGUGGCUCAGAUGGUAAAGCGUCUGCCUGCAAUGCGGGAGACCCGGGUUCGAUUCCUGGGUCGGGAU